rnacentral:rRNA from 2 species
ACGGGGUGCAGCAGGCGCGAAACCUUUGCAAUGUGCGAAAGCACGACAAGGUUAAUCCGAGUGUCUCCUGCUAAAGGAGUCUUUUGUCAGUUGUAGAAUCACUGAUGAAUAAGGGGUGGGCAAGUUCUGGUGUCAGCCGCCGCGGUAAAACCAGCACCUCGAGUGGUCAGGAGGUUUAUUGGGCCUAAAGCAUCCGUAGCCGGUUGCAUAAGUUUUCGGUUAAAUCUAUGCGCUCAACGUAUAGGCCGCCGAAAAUACUGUGCAGCUAGGGAGUGGGAGAGGUACACGGUACUCAAUAGGAAGGGGUAAAAUCCUUUGAUCUAUUGAUGACCACCUGUGGCGAAGGCGGUGUACCAGAACACGUUCGACGGUGAGGGAUGAAAGCUGGGGGAGCAAACCGGGUUAGAUACCCGGGUAGUCCCAGCUGUAAACGAUGCAGACUCGGUGAUGCAUUGGCUUGUGGCCAAUGCAGUGCCGCAGGGAAGCCGUUAAGUCUGCCGCCUGGGAAGUACGUACGCAAGUAUGAAACUUAAAGGAAUUGGCGGGGGAGCAC